UCGCAGUGGAGCCUUUGGGUCACCUCCCACCCAUGUUUAUUUUACCUUGUUGCUUCGGCGGGCCCGCCUUAACUGGCCGCCGGGGGGCUUACGCCCCCGGGCCCGCGCCCGCCGAAGACACCCUCGAACUCUGUCUGAAGAUUGUAGUCUGAGUGAAAAUAUAAAUUAUUUAAAACUUUCAACAACGGAUCUCUUGGUUCCGGCAUCGAUGAAGAACGCAGCGAAAUGCGAUACGUAAUGUGAAUUGCAAAUUCAGUGAAUCAUCGAGUCUUUGAACGCACAUUGCGCCCCCUGGUAUUCCGGGGGGCAUGCCUGUCCGAGCGUCAUUGCUGCCCUCAAGCCCGGCUUGUGUGUUGGGCCCCGUCCUCCGAUUCCGGGGGACGGGCCCGAAAGGCAGCGGCGGCACCGCGUCCGGUCCUCGAGCGUAUGGGGCUUUGUCACCCGCUCUGUAGGCCCGGCCGGCGCUUGCCGAUCAACCCAAAUUUUUAUCCAGGUUGACCUCGGAUCAGGUAGGGAUACCCGCUGAACUUAAGCAUAUCA
rnacentral:rRNA from 1 species